AGGGAAAUAGCUUGGUGGUAGAGUGCAAGCUUAGCAUGCAUGAGGUCCUGGGUUCAAUCCCCAGCACCUCCA
rnacentral:tRNA from 1 species